rnacentral:misc_RNA from 1 species
UCUCCGUUGGUGAACCAGCGGAGGGAUCAUUACAGAGUUGCAAAAUUCCCAAACCAUUGUGAACGUUACCUAUCCCGUUGCUUCGGCGGGCGGCCCGGGCCCCGCGCCCGGCGCCCCCCGGCCCCCCGUGGGCGCCCGCCGGAGGUAAACCAAACCCUUGAAUUGCAUGGCCUCUCUGAGUCUUCUGUACUAAAUAAGUCAAAACUUUCAACAACGGAUCUCUUGGUUCUG